rnacentral:rRNA from 1 species
ACAGCAAUAUGAAGGUCAGGCUGAAGACCUUACCCGAUUAGCUGAGAGGUGGUGCAUGGCCGUCGUCAGUUCGUACUGUGAAGCAUCCUGUUAAGUCAGGCAACGAGCGAGACCCACGUCCACAGUUGCCAGCAUACCCUCCGGGGUGAUGGGUACACUGUGGAGACCGCCGCUGCUAAAGCGGAGGAAGGAGUGGGCAACGGUAGGUCAGUAUGCCCCGAAUCUCCCGGGCUACACGCGGGCUACAAUGGUUGGUACAAUGGGCAUCUACCCCGAAAGGGGAAGGAAAUCUCUUAAAGCCAAUCGCAGUUCGGAUUGAGGGCUGCAACUCGCCCUCAUGAAGCUGGAAUCCGUAGUAAUCGCGUUUCAACAGAACGCGGUGAAUACGUCCCUGCUCCUU